CUCGCCCCACUGACUUCCGCGUUUGUUUGUUUGUUUUUAGCAUCUUUAUUGGGGUAUAAUUGCUGUACAAGGGUGUGUUAGUUUCUGCUUUAUAACAAAGUGAAUCAGUUACACAUAUACAUAUGUUCCCAUAUCUCUGACUUCCGUGUUUUUAGAGCACAAGUAUUAAAAAAAAAAUCAGACAAAUAAGGAGGCGGUGGGUACACUUUAAUGAUACAACUUAAUCUGCGGGGGAUGUGAUCUGGUGACUCUCCAUGCGAUAAUCCUUUCACAAUUAUAAUUAACUGUGAGAAUAAAAAGCUUGUCUACAUUAUAAUUACUGCUUCAUAAAAUUUAUGUAUACUUGUAACAACUAAAUGGUUCAGUGUCUCGAAAAAUAGAUAUCUUUUUCCAUGUUUUAUUGUAAAUUGCAGCGGUCCCUCAGUAUCCACAGGGAUUGGUUCCAGGACCCCCCCAAGGACACCAAAAUCCACAGGUGCUCAGGUCCUUUAUAGACACUGGCAUAGCAUCUGCGUAUAACUGUGCCCCCCCUUCCAUGCUUUAAAUCAUCUCCAGAUCUCAUAAAACCUAAAAUGAGGUACAAGCCGUGUACACAACUGUAGAUACAUUUUAAAUGCUAUGUAAAUAGCUGCCUUGCAGCAAAUUCAGGUUUUGCCUUUGGGAACUUUCUGGAAUGUUUUCCCCGAUAUUUCGAUCUGAGGUGGGUUGAAUCCAUGGACAGAACUCACAGACAUGGAGGGCCAGCUACAUGUUAAUCCUGUUAUACACAUUUUCCUUAAUAGACAAUAACAGACGAUUUAAGUGACUGACCUUCGCAGUAGAUUUAUCUUCAAAUCUCUUAAAACAGUAGCUGAACCAGGCUGUCUGACGGACGGACGUCUGUGCUCAUUAAAUUACCAGCUCAGCAGCGCGCUGCAGUUCCUGCCCGGGGCGUGAACACAAACACGGGGCAGACGCAGAUGAAGCCCGGCCUCGCCCUCAGAGGAGACACAGAGCAGCACCCUGGGCUCUGGCGUCUCACACCGGGACUCGGGUCCUGCAGCCACCGCAGCCGCACUGUGUCAGCAGCCUUUUCUAACCUCUGAUUUCCAUUUACAAAGGACUAUUAUCUGUAGUUCAUUUUAUACUGUAGAUAUUCGUUGAGUCCCUAUUGUAUGCCGUGUGCUGUGCAUUCCAUGAUGAACCCAAACCAUGAGCUGACAGUCUAGCAGAAAAGAGCAACAGGAAGUGAGUGGCCACAGGAGGCGUGUCAAUGGACUGUGGUUCACUUUAGCAAAGUGGAAACGCUGAGCGAGGUCUGAAGUGAGGGAGCGGAGAUGACUUUGGCCUGUGGACGCUGCACUGCCCACGAGACAUCCAGAUGCGGACAUCAAGGAAACAACUGGACCCAUGAAUCUAGAGCUAAGAGAUCAAGAAGCCUCAUUAACAAUGAGCAGACGCUUCCCCCACAUGCACCAGCAGGUCCUGAGGACUUUCACCAACGCUGCGGUGCUUCUGCCUCUGGACCAUGGGGAACCUGCCAGGACGAGGAAGCACUCUGCCCCAACUCACGCUUUCCCAUGAGAAUGCAUCGUCCUCCAGACACAGGAAGUGUGUCCUCGUGACACUAAGGGCCCCCCUGAAAUCCUGGAGGGCAAAAUCACUGUGAAUCACCGAUGAACCAAGACCUGUCAGACUUGGGCGCACUGCUUGCCGCUGAGUUGGAUGGUCUGAAAUGAGGAGACAUGAAGAAAAGACCCGCCUUUAUCUUCUCUGUCUGAUGAAACUGCAAGUUUGCAUGUCACCCUUGGUGGGAAGACCAGACUCGUGGUAAUUAUCCAAAUGUAACGCGCCAGUGUUGGCUGCCUAGCCCCUGUGUCAAUAUGCUGCUGAGGCUGGUGGGUUGGAGUACGUUUCUGAAGCUGAUGUCUGGAACCUCCUACUUUAAUGAGAGAAAGAGAGAAGAAAUUUUCUGCUGUUAAAAAAGGUCUCUUCUCAGGCUUCCCUGGUGGCGCAGUGGUUGAGAGUCCGCCUGCUAAUGCAGGGGACACGGGUUCGAGCCCCGGUCCGGGAAGAUCCCACAUG